CAGUGCCCAAAAAUUUCUUUUCUAUGUGUGCAUUUUAAAAGGAUCUGUGUUUAGUUUCUCUCUAAGCACUAAGAAAAGAAGAAGCAGCAGUGCUGAACUAAGCUCUUCCUGAGAGAUGUUUUGCACUUCAGGAUUGAUUUCCAUGCUGAUAAUUGCAAUGGGGCUCGACUAAUCAAGAUUGUUCCUGGAACUGAAAAUAUCAGCUGGAUUCAGGUUUGAUGCUUGUUGAUUCCUGCAGCUCAAGUUCUUACACCACACGUUUGAAACGAGAUCAUUGGAACGCUAACGAGCUGUAUCUGAUACUCAGUGUGUAAAAGAGAAAAGCCAACAUGGCUGAGAGGGAAUUUUCCUAAGCCACCUUUCACUCAAGAACCUGCAGCAUGAAAAGUGAACAAAUUGCUUGACCAAUCCUGCCCUCUUCAGGCCUUUGCAUCCCUCUGGCUCUGCCAGAUUUCUUCUUUUCCACACAGGCAAAUUAAACGUGCU